rnacentral:rRNA from 1 species
CAGUAGCCGCGGGAAUACGGAGGGCGCGAGCGUUACCCGGAUUUACUGGGCGUAAAGGGCGUGUAGGCGGCCUGGGGCGUCCCAUGUGAAAGGCCACGGCUCAACCGUGGAGGAGCGUGGGAUACGCUCAGGCUAGAGGGUGGGAGAGGGUGGUGGAAUUCCCGGAGUAGCGGUGAAAUGCGCAGAUACCGGGAGGAACGCCGAUGGCGAAGGCAGCCGCCUGGUCCACUUCUGACGCUGAGGCGCGAAAGCGUGGGGAGCAAACCGGAUUAGAUACCCCUGUAGUCCCUGUCUCUUAUAC